rnacentral:rRNA from 1 species
UACGAAGGGGACUAGCGUUGUUCGGAAUUACUGGGCGUAAAGCGCACGUAGGCGGAUUUGUUAGUCAGGGGUGAAAUCCUGGGGCUCAACCUCAGAACUGCCUUUGAUACUGCAAGUCUAGAGUCCAGAAGAGGUGAGUGGAAUUCCUAGUGUAGAGGUGAAAUUCGUAGAUAUUAGGAAGAACACCGGUGGCGAAGGCGGCUCACUGGUCUGGUACUGACGCUGAGGUGCGAAAGCGUGGGGAGCAAACAGG